UCGGUUUAAGUGAGUGUGGUUUGUGUUUGCACACUCCUCUGAGACCGCUAUUGGAUCCAUUGAGAUGAAUGGCCUGUCUGUAUCUCCUCUAUACAGCUGACACUAUCAAAUAGCCACUGCCUUUCUCUCUCUUUAUACUCCACUCACACCGCUCCCCUUCCCCGCCCCCCGCCCUCACUCCCACCCUCCACUUCGUCUUAACCGCCGCACGCCGGUUUCCUUGUACUCUCGCCGCCACCCUGAUUUGUUGUUUACGAUCAGAGCCAAGGAUGACUGGCAUUUUAUCUCGCGGACGAGGGGAGCAACAAAGAUAGAGAGAGGAAGCCCGGUGGUCGACUGGUCAGCAUGUCAGCCUUGCAGUGCAGAGGUCACGGGUUCGAAUCCGGCUUUGGCCUUCCUCUAUGGAGUUUGCAUGCUCUCCCCGUGCCGGUGUGGAUUUUCUCAGGGUACUCGGGUGAGGCGUGGAGACGGGCCAAGACGGUGAGCAAAAAACGCGGCGAGAGGGAGAGGCUAGACCUUCGUUCUAUAUUCAUGGAGGUGGUGUAGAUCGUUAGCUCAAUAAAUUAGAGCCUCGCGGCUGUGGAUAUCACACUGCCAUAUGUCAGAGUGAGAGAGAGAGAGGAGAAGGAGGCAAAGGACUGGUAGAGAGGAAGAGACGAAAAAUGUGUUUGUUACAUUAAGUGUGAAUAAAUGCAUACAAAAUGCAAACAAGAAGCAGAUGCGACGCCUCGGUGGUGAGGCGGAAAGUUGGGACGGAGGCGGCAGGGUUGCCGAGUG